rnacentral:tRNA from 1 species
AGUCGAAUAGCCAAGUGGUUAAGGCAAUAGUUUGCUAAACUAUCAAGUUAAUUAUAUUAAUUCGUGGGUUCGAGUCCCACUUCGACUU